rnacentral:rRNA from 1 species
AACGAACGCUGGCGGCAGGCUUAACACAUGCAAGUCGAACGGAUGUAGCAAUACAUCAGUGGCAGACGGGUGAGGAACACGUGGGAAUAUUCCUUUCAGUUCGGAAUAACGUUGGGAAACUAACGCUAAUACCGGAUACGUCCUUCGGGAGAAAGAUUUAUCGCCCAAGGAUGAGCCCGCGUAGGAUUAGCUAGUUGGUGGGGUAAAGGCCCACCAAGGCGACGAUCCUUAGCUGGUCUGAGAGGAUGAUCAGCCACACUGGGACUGAGACACGGCCCAGACUCCUACGGGAGGCAGCAGUGGGGAAUAUUGGACAAUGGGCGAAAGCCUGAUCCAGCAAUGCCGCGUGAGUGAUGAAGGCCUUAGGGUUGUAAAGCUCUUUUACCCGGGAUGAUAAUGACAGUACCGGGAGAAUAAGCCCCGGCUAACUCCGUGCCAGCCGCCGCCGUAA